rnacentral:rRNA from 1 species
UAGGGAAUCUUCCACAAUGGACGAAAGUCUGAUGGAGCAACGCCGCGUGAGUGAAGAAGGGUUUCGGCUCGUAAAACUCUGUUGUUAAAGAAGAACAUAUCUGAGAGUAACUGUUCAGGUAUUGACGGUAUUUAACCAGAAAGCCACGACUAACUACGUGCCAG